rnacentral:rRNA from 1 species
UACGGAGGGUGCAAGCGUUAUCCGGAUUCACUGGGUUUAAAGGGUGCGUAGGAGGGUUGGUAAGUCAGUGGUGAAAUCUCCGAGCUUAACUUGGAAACUGCCGUUGAUACUAUCAAUCUUGAAUAUCGUGGAGGUGAGCGGAAUAUGUCAUGUAGCGGUGAAAUGCUUAGAUAUGACAUAGAACACCAAUUGCGAAGGCAGCUCGCUACACGAAUAUUGACUCUGAGGCACGAAAGCGUGGGGAUCAAACGGG